rnacentral:rRNA from 1 species
CCGACGAGCGGCGGACGGCUGAGUAACGCGUGGGAACAUACCCUAAAGUGAGGGAUAACUACUCGAAAGAGUGGCUAAUACCGCAUAUGAUCUUCGGAUUAAAGCAUUUAUGCGCUUUAGGAACGGCCUGCGUACGAUUAGAUAGUUGGUGAGGUAAAGGCUCACCAAGUCGACGAUCGUUAGAUGGUUUGAGAGGAUGAUCAUCCAGACUGGGACUGAGACACGGCCCAGACUCCUACGGAAGGCAGCAG